UGGCAGAAGCCCCCCCUGCUUACCCCAGCCCUCUCUAGAUGCCCCUUCAACCUGAUGGAUGUCAUCAAUAAUGGACGCCCGUUGCUCACUCCCACCCCGGGACACAGAAAAUCACAAGCCAGCCGAAGUGGCAGCCCGAGCCCAGCAGAGGUGUGAUAAUUCACAUCCACAUUUAUACUUUUAAAUUUCAUCAAGUAGUUUACCUCCCCAAACAUGCCACAGGCUGAGGGGAGAAAGCUGACAAAGAAAUGUGGGUUUGAUAGGAGCUAGAGAAAUCUGGCCUGACUGUCUUUGCUCAGGGUAAAACCCACCGAAUGAGGUAAAUGCAUCAGCGGCAGGGGCUGUCUCGACACGGGUGGCAGGAGGAGGAUGGAGGGGACGAGAGAGAGAGAGAGAGAGAAGUGUCGGAGUGCUGGGGAAAGGCUGGAUCCAGCGGCUAGGACAUAAUGAAGCACACCAGGCAGGGUCAGCCCUCUGCGUUUGAAGCGACAAAUCGGCCGUCAGCGCGCAUGUCGGAUACCAGGCACCAUAGCGUUCUGUCUCUCUCUCUUUCUCGCUCUCUGCAGAUGUUCUCUCUACCUAUUCAGCAGGGAUGGGGUGACAGUGGGCUGUGACAGCUUUCCCUAAUGACCCGUGAGUGCCCGCUUCUGUGUGCUGACAUUUUGGGUGGCAGCACAGAUGCCAGGCAUGCAGAGGGGGGCGUUACUGCCGCUGGCAGAUCUCGCUCCAAAUAAAUUACUGUCAGAGGUGUUGCUCUCUCCCCCUCUCUCUUUCUCACUCAUGUACACAAAAUGCAGCAGACUUUCACCGUGUCCUAACCAGGCAAGAUGUGACUGUUCCGGCGACAAGCAAUUUGUUUCUCAUACUGAAAGCGAAACUGCUAUAUGAUGCGGCAUAGUCACAGCCAAUCAUAAGAUAUUUGAUGCUCAAUGUACAGCUAUGUGAAGCGGGCCAAUGAGAUUUCAUUGUGGGCGGGGCUAUCCAGUGCAGAGAAAUGUUAAUUAUACUGUACAUUCAAUGUCACUAAUUCAUUCAAUACUGACAAUUAAUUAAAAAUAGUUUAAUUA